GACGAACGCUGGCGGCGUGCUUAACAUAUGCAAGUCGAACGAUGAAGCUGGAGCUUGCUCCGGUGGAUUAGUGGCGAACGGGUGAGUAACACGUGAGAAAUCUGCCCUUGACUCUGGGAUAACUGCGGGAAACUGUAGCUAAUACCGGAUAUUUUCCUUGGUGGGCAUCCCCUGGGGACGAAAGAAUUUCGGUCAAGGAUGAUCUCGCGGCCUAUCAGCUAGUUGGUGAGGUAAUGGCUCACCAAGGCGAGGACGGGUAGCCGGCCUGAGAGGGUGACCGGCCACACUGGGACUGAGACACGGCCCAGACUCCUACGGGAGGCAGCAGUGGGGAAUAUUGCACAAUGGGCGCAAGCCUGAUGCAGCAACGCCGCGUGAGGGAUGAAGGCCUUCGGGUUGUAAACCUCUUUUAGCAGGGAAGAAGCGAAAGUGACGGUACCUGCAGAAAAAGCACCGGCUAACUACGUGCCAGCAGCCGCGGUAA
rnacentral:rRNA from 1 species